UGCCCUUUCCCCUUGGCGAUGGCGGCGGCUGGGGAACGGGUUCACCCCCGCGCGCCCGCGAGGCUGCGUGGCGGUACAGCGAGUGGUGGUCGGCACGUCUGUGCCCCCGUGGCUGCGGCAGCGUGACGGCGGCGCCCGCGUGCCUGCAGCGGCCAGCGUACCGGCGCUCGCGCGCCCACGCCUGCGUCCGUGUGGCUGGCAGUGGCGGCGGCGCCUGCUUGCCCCGUCCAUGUGCUCGGCCGUUGCGGCGGCGCACGCACGAGUGCCCAGUCGCAGCUGCGCACGCCUGCUGCUCGACCGCGACGACGUGGACCGGCUACGCCGGCUUGUCUGCGAGGAGACGACGUUGGCCUGCAGGUCGGAGAAGCUUCUACAUGCACUUCUGUUCGUGCCUCCGUUCCCAGGACCGGGCUGACUAGCUAAACCCAGCACCAGCCUGCAGUGGUGGCGUGCUCCUCGCCUGUGCCUGAGCACUCAUCUGUGGAGCGCGGUGGUUGUGCUUGUGCAUGCCUGUGCACUUGCCUUCAAGGCAGCGGUCCAGUGGAGGUUGCGACGGUGGCGGUGCUGUUGUGGCGCGGCGUUUCAGGUUCACAACGGAGGUUGGCAAGGCGCCAAGGCCUCACGCUGGAGGUACGACGAGCGGUGGUCAAGGCUAGCACGAAGCUAAUUCUAACCUUUAUCAUGGCAGCUAAAUCUAUUCCUGGGUAACAACUAAUCGUAGCAAGCAGUUAGAUUCUUACCUUUCUUCUUUGUUACCUUUGUGAACUCCUAGGCCAACGGAGCAUUCGUGCUGAUAACGUGUUAAGAAUCCUUUGCUACUAGUGUAGUCCAAAGGCUUCUUAACUAGAAAUAGAAUCAUAAACACAGGAGACACAAAGAUAUAGGAGGAACUGUUAUUCUCAUUCAUGUAUUCAGCUCAAUGGUUACAAC